UGAAGCUCAGAGCUGCUUUAAUAUUACGAGGUCCACCGAGGAGCUGUGCACACAAAGGAUCUGUAAUGAAAACACUGCGCUGCCUUUGCCAAAGCCCAGACCCUGAUAUACUGGAGGACAGUGGAAAAUAAUCCUUUUGUUGGUUUAAUGGUCUUUCGUACAUUUUUCAGGAAACCUUCACAAACAGAUGAGUGCUUGUGACUCCCAGCUCUCCAAACACUGUACGACAACGAGAGAGGGGACAAUUAUUCAAACACAGUCACACAUUGGUGCUGAAAGGAUAAACAAACCAGCACACGGAGCUCAAUAGACGUCUUAAAAGCUGUGACAAGAAGCAACAUUCCUCACUUUAGGAGAAAGGGCAUUCUAAGAGCGAAAGGCUGACCAAACUAAACAACAUUCAGCCCUCAAUCCGUAUCCCAGCUUGUUCGUGAGUUGAAGAGAUUAUGGGUUAUUUGCAGCUAUGCAGAUCCCGUUUUUAAGCUGGGUCCUUACGCCCCUCCCAAGACUCGACUACGACUGCCUGGAUUCCUGAACAAAGAAACUGCCUGUUGUGUAUCCAUCGCUCCCUCUAAUCCCAUCUAACAACAGUGUGGGAGGGGUCGUCAGCUACUGCGAUCCUGAACCGAAAAACAUGAACAGCUCAGGAAUAACUGCUUAUAUCAGGCGUAUCAAACUCCGCUCCUGGAGGGCCGCGGUCGCUCCACCCCGAGCUCUCAAUUACUUAAUGGGUCUAAUUAGUUGAUUAAUUGGGCGUAUUUUAACACUUCU